AGCAGACAACCUGUUUGUUGUGUUUUACAAAUUGUAAAAUACGUAAGCACACCAUAUAUGUCCUGCUUCUGAUUAAAAAAACUCAUAACACUUCUGUGAAAGGACGUCUACCUUGCUGUGGGAGGAACUUGGCUGUGGCCUGCGGGGAUUCCUCAGCCAUAAAGUUGCGUCACAGCAAAGUAUUUAAGCGAGCUCUGCUAUCAAUAGUUCAAACCUGUUCCUUCUUGUUGAACAACAACUACAGAGCUAUAGCAGCGCUGAGGGGAAGAAGAAAAACCAAACCUUUUACCGGCUCCUCUGAGACAGUGUUGUGAGAGAAAUGGCUGGCCACGGUAAGAGACUCAAAAAACUAUUCAACUUGACAUCUUUUUAUCUUAACUUCAUUGACUUGUAUUAGAUCAUGAGUUCUUACUUUUUCCUCUUUCGCUUUCAGAUUUGGCUGAAACCCUUGACACUUGCGCAAACGAGCUGCGUCAAAUUGGAGACGUACUUGACUGGAAAUACAAACUGCUGGAGAUUCUGAUCAAGAACUACAAGACUGUCACAAAAAUCUAACAUGAAAUGUCUCCUUAGACCAUGAGGAGGAAAUGGAUUUUUGUAAAACUCUAUGGCGUUUUGAGCCAAAGUUGAAGAGUCUCGGAUUUGGACUCAUAAACUGGAGGUUGCAUUCGAGGUGAAUGUGAGCAUGUGGAAACAUCUUGGAGGGGAUGUUGGAUGUGCGCUGUCUGUGGACUGCUGUCAUUCAAGUCAGGACCGCCACAGAAGAAAUCAGACAUGUGGGAUGGUGUUGACCCUCCAUUUGGGACCCACUGGUGACUGAAGCCAAAGUAGAACAACUGAAUGGACGCUAUGUGCCGAGGUGCUGAUUGUCACAUGUGCUCUGAUUGUGUUUGGACAAUAGUGCAUAUAAUACUGUCACUUUAGAGUUCUCUGGAGAACUGAUGACUGAAGAAUUAAGACACUUUCUGGUCUGUGAUGACUGUCUGUCUUUCAAAAUGAAACUAUUUAAUGAAGAAUAAAC